ensembl:lncRNA
GGAAGAUCUGUAACAGCAGAGGAGAGAUUCUGACAGCAGCUUGAGAGCCGGAAAGCAGAUGGAGCAGCAGCAGCCGGGUGAGCGGAGCUGAGGCCCAGCACAUGCCACUGCAGCGGGGUCGCUGGGGCCAGAGGCGCCAGGUAGGUCUGAGCAUGGGGUGUUGGCAAGCCAAGGCUGGAGGCUGGCUGAGAGUCGGAGCCGCCCGACGGUCUCCCAGGCCUGUGCAGCCGAGAGAGCACCCCCCACCACGGCAGCAGAAAGGGGAGUUGAUGCUCUGCGGAAGCUGAGCAGAGGCAGCAGGUCCCAUGAUGAAAACAGGGGUGCAAAGACGUCUCAGAGGGACGGUGGGCCACUGGUCCCUUCCUCCAGGACCCCAGAACAGACAGCCGUGCCCCUCCGCACACCCACGGGAGAUAGGAGUGUUUCUCACUGGCGAGACUGACUGGCCCAAGAGAGAGACCAAGGGACACUGCACGUGGCAGUUCCCAGGAAAUGCGCAGGUCACCGCCAGUGGCCCACAGACAGACCCCAGCUGGCCAGCCCUGCACACAAAGCUUCAGGGAGUGUCUCUAGUCCUUCGUUCUAAGAUACGCAGGGACAACUGACACCAUCAGACGUCUAGGAAAGUCCACUGUGAGAGACGGAGGCGAAAGGAGGAACUCGGGAGGGAUGGAGGCAGCGCAGGGGGAGAGGAGACGCCCCCAGACGUCUGGACUGUGCUGUCUUCACGACUGAAGCUGUGACCUCUGGACAGCAGCUCCCAUUUCUCCCUCCUGCCCCUGCCCCCGGAACCACGACUCAGCUCUCCACUUCUGCAAGCUGGGCUACUCUAGAGACCUCAUGUCGGGGUCCUCAGGAGGGACUGGUCCACUUACGGCUUAGUUCACUCAGUGUAAUGUACGUGCAAAAGUUUGUUAAGAGGGGAGCUUUCAUGUUAUGUAUUUUUUACCACCAUUUAAAACAAAAAAAAAAGAGGAAAUGCUCACAAAGUUAUUAAUGCCUCAGAGGGGUAGGAAAAGAGAUGGCUCCAUGCAAUAGGAACCAGAGACUGACAAAAGGAACAUUCACUAAAAAAAGAGAGAGAGAAAGAGCUUUGUAAAAUUGGAAAUAUGAGAGCAGAAUUUUAAAAAAUCGGUAGAUUGCCUGGAAGUUAAAGUUAAGGAAAUCCCUCAGAAGUAGAACAGAAAGAAAAAGAUGAAAACACAAGAGAACAGGUAAGAUAGGGGUGAGAACAGACAGGAGGACAAGGAGGUGGAACGGAAGACCAGCCAGAGUGGAGAAAGAGGUGACUGAGAAAAGGCAGGCAGACCCUCUGAGAGAAGUGGCCUGAGGAGCCCCUGGAAGUGAAGGGGUUCCAGACAGAAAGAGCCCAUCACUGCGGGAUUUCAGAAUGGCAGGAAUAAAGAGAGGAUCUUACAGUUUUCGGAGGACAAAACAGGCCACAUUCGAAAGACUGGGCCUAGGAAAGGCACUGGGCUUCUCAAAAGCCACCCUGGAACCAAGACAACAGUGGGGCGACGGAGGCAAGACAACUGCAGCCUAGAAUUCUAGAUCCAGCCAAACAGCCGGGCAAGAAGGAGGGUGGACAAACCACAUUUCAAACAUGGCAAGUCCAGAAACAACUAUUUUCCAAGCGCCUUUUCUCAGAAAGUCACUGGAGGGUGCAUACCACCACAAUGAAGGCAUAACCGAGAAAGAGGAAGACGUAACGUACAGGAAACGGGAGGGCACAGUUGCUGCCCAGAUGAUGUGGAAGAGAGACACCAGGAGAGCAGCUGAGCCUCAUUCUAGAGCAGAGCCAAAUGCUACAAGAGGGAAGUCCUCAAAAAAAACAAACCUGGAAAUGUGAGACAGCUGGCCAUGUUGAGAGUUGUGAUAGGAGCUUACGGUUCUGGCGGGAAAUUCGGGCACAUGUUAAUAAUGGCACUUUUCAAUAACCCAGCGAUAACAGCAGCAAACAAAAUCAGAAGCAAUUAACACAGCUAAGGGCAUGGACAGCGCCGCCUGGGGGCUGGAGUGCCAGUGGGAGGGCAGCUCAGAGGCUGCCGGCUUCACUGCUGGGCAGGUGGCUUUCACCGCAAGCCCGCUCAUGUUUAAAGUGACGCACGUAUGGCAGGUGGGUACCACCAUCCCCACCUGUGGAUGAGAACACCUAGCUCAGAGGCAGGAAGGUCGCAUCUCAGCUCAGCACUGGGGAGCAGAAAGAACCCAGGCCCGCUCUCCCAGCCAUCCUGCAGGCGCCCCUCCCGGCUCAGCGGCCUCAGCUUCCUCUGUACAAGAGGCCACGUGUGGGUCAGGGAGCCUCCCUGACGCCUGACUCCUCCAGGCGGCAAGGCCAGCCAGGUACGUUGCGGGACGUCGGAUGGGGUGCCUGGGAGCUCCUGAUAUGCAUGUCACCUGAGACAGACACCAGGAGUGCCGGGUGUCCCUGACCCCAGCGGGGGGGCCUUGCCCUGUCCUCUUCCCUUCCCUUCGCCCCUCCUAGGCGGACAUUCAGCUUCUGGAUUCCUCUGCCGGUUUCCUCUCUCUCCAGCCAGCGUGACUACUUUCUUGUGAUCUUUGGGAUUGAAACAAAAGGGAUUUUUCUAACUGUACCCCCCUCUAGUCCUGGGCAGCAGAGGGGCUGUGGGAGGGGCAAGGGCUUGAAGAAGAGAGGCAAGAUUAGGAGCAGGGCCCAGCUGGCCCAGGGCUUGCACGCACACGCACGGUCCCCAGCCUGACAGUGCUGGUCCCACCCAGAUGCUGGAGGAAGACCCUGUUCGGUCCCUCUCAGUCCCCUGCCCGGGCAUCUGUGCCCCCAGUGGCCUGUGGGCAUUUCCCUCAUGCACAGUGGCCCAUCGUUCUUGGGCCCAGGUGUGCACUGGCCUCUGUCUGGCACAGCGGGGCUGUCCAAGGAGGCCUGGCCCAGCCUCAGAGGAGCCGUGUGCUGAUGAGGAGGAGACAAGGAGCAGUGAGGGCAGAGGUCAAGGUGGGCACAGGAGAGCAGGCUGGUCCUUAAGGUCUCCAGAGUGUGUGAGUGUGCGUGUGUGUGUGUGUGAGCAGGAGUACUGUGAGCCUGUGGGAGCAUGCGUAAGUGUGUCAGAGCCUGUGGGAGUGGGUGUGAGCAGGAGCAUGUGGGAGCAUCCUUGUCCCUGCCACGUCCCAUGGCCGCGGAUGGUGUGAUGUGGCCUUCCAGUGGAGAGCCCUGGCUCAGCCUCAGGGCUGCCAUCCUGCACUCCUCCUGGGGACACCCGUCUCAUAUUCAUCUACGCGAAUGGCACCCCUACUGUGCUUCAGUGCACAGCCUAUGCAACUGUAUACCACAGCCCCACUGAGUCCCCGGUCUCACCAGCGUCCUCCGCAUACAUAAAGUGAAGGGUCUUGUGAGCAAACAGCCCUCCUCAACAAACUCCUCACAGCACCAAGACUUGGUUCUCUUCUAAAGAGGCCACGGGGAUCUUCCCGACAGCCUCAGCCCGGUGCUUGAGAUCCCUCCAUUGCUGUUUCCCCCAUCCCGGGGGCCGUCAGGCCAGGGGCUGCUUCCCGUUCUGUGGGGGACCCAGGUAGGGUGGCUACGAGCGUGCCUGGGGUAGGGACCUGCGGACUAAAGGACAGAGCUUGCAGAUCAGAGAGCGGGAACUGAGGCAUGGUGACCAGUGUAGGCAGCUCGGCCACAGACUCGCUGAGCAAGGUCGUGCCUUCUGAGCCUCGGUUUCCUUGCCUAAAGUUGGGCGGCUGCACUCCAGGAGUCUGUCCCCACAGCCGCGCCCUACACCUCUCCUGAAGGACCACACCGCUUUUUCCCCCGAGCUGGGCAGAAGCUGGGGUUGCCGGUUGCGGGUCCUGCCUGUGGCCCCGUGUCUCCCUCAGUGACUGACAUGGAUGUCUCAGUCACUUCUUCCAGCGUCUUCUCACCAUCGACUUAACACCAUCAGCCCAGCACAUCACCUUUAGAUACUGCAUGGGCCCUGACCGUGGCUGUGGCUGCCCCAGCCCGGGCCAGCUCCUGACGUGGAAGAGGGUCCCCGGGGGCAGAGAGUGGGGUCAGGACACUGAAGGAGCCCCAGCUCUGAGCUCUCACGCUCCCCGGACCCCAGAGCCUCCAUCUCAUGUGAGGGUCAACAAAGACUCAGCGGGACCCCAGCCAGCCCCACAGUGACCCAGUCGCCUCCUGGGACCCCAGCCAGCCCCACAGUCCAGGUAGGAUGGAGGCAGGGUGGGUGCAGAAGGAGAGAGGCCGGGGGCAGCAGGGGGCAGCCAGCAAGGAGCUGCUGGAAGCCGGCCAGCCCCCUCUCCCCUCCUGCUCCCAUCACAAAGGGCCCGCUUCCCACUCGCCUCCUAUUCAACCACUUCUCCCCAUUGUCAAUAAAAGCCAUUUUUAAGGUCAACUGUCUUCUCCCAUCCACCGCCAAGCCCACACAGCUCCAGCAACACCGGCCCAGCACCAC